CCUACGUGUGGCUGCAGUGAGGAAUAUUGGUCAAUGGGCGCGAGCCUGAACCAGCCAAGUAGCGUGAAGGAUGACUGCCCUACGGGUUGUAAACUUCUUUUAUAAAGGAAUAAAGUGAGGCACGUGUGCCUUUUUGUAUGUACUUUAUGAAUAAGGAUCGGCUAACUCCGUGCAAGCAGCCGCGGUAAUACGGAGGAUCCGUGCGUUAUCCGGAUGUAUUGGGUUGAAAGGGAGCGUAGAUGGGUUGGUAAGUCAGUUGUGAUAGUUUGCGGCUCAACCGUAAAAUUGCAAUUGAUACUGGCAGUCUUGUGUACAGUUGCGUUAGGCGGAAUUCGUGGUGUCGCGGUGAAAUGCUUCGCUAUCACUAAGAACUCCGAUUGC
rnacentral:rRNA from 1 species